UACGGGGGGAGCAAGCGUUGUUCGGAUUUACUGGGCGUAAAGGGCGCGUAGGCGGCCACCGCAAGUCGACUGUGAAAUCUCCGGGCUUAACCCGGAAAGGUCAGCCGAUACUGCGGGGCUAGAGUGCAGAAGGGGCAACUGGAAUUCCACGUGUAGCAGUGAAAUGCGUAGAGAUGUGGAGGAACACCGAUGGCGAAGGCAGCCCCCUGGGUCAACACUGACGCUCAUGCACGAAAGCGUGGGGAGCAAACAGG
rnacentral:rRNA from 1 species